AUUGCGGCGGCCCGGGCGGUCGAUGUGGUACUGAUCGUUUGAUCAUAUUUACGCGGUGCGUAGAGACUUGGUAGAGAACAUGUGCUCCUUUUUUGUGUGAAUUAACGAUCACUAAGCCCUGGGUCCUGUGCAAUGCUAUUAGCUCGCUGUAUGUUUCUUGCGGUGCGCCGUUGUUGAUUAUCGUAGUGCGGUCCACACGCGCUUUCUUUGUGCCCGGCUCAUGAGAAGUGUUGUACUCUCGCCGCUCCCGCAUCGGCUCACAGUGCACGGAAGAAUGUGUUGAUAGUUGUGCUAUCGCGUGCUGUAGUUCACCGCAAUUCAACACUACGCUGGACGGACUGUUGGUGCAGUCGAUGCGGCGUGAACGGACACGACGGAGCGCUCGCCUCAGAAGGGAUGUCACAAUUUCCUGAGACGGAGGCAUCUGUGCACCACAAGGGAGACUGCGGCACUAUGCAGCCUGAACAGCACGACAAAGCAUCUGAUCUGCCUGCUUUGACAAGAUGUGGCUGGGCCUGCAGAAAGAGUGUAAGCAGACUACUGUGUUGCUGAUCAGUGCUGGUGCUGAUCUCUUUGUCUGAGUUGGCCUCACAACGUCCAGGUGCCACUGUGCUUUGCUUCAUUGACAAGGUGUGGCUGGGCCUGCAGAAAAGCUGUAAACAGACUGCAGUGUUGCUGAUCAGUGCUGAUCUCCGCGUCCGAGUUGGUCCCACAAUAUCCAGGCACCACGGUGCUUUCACAAGGUUCACAAUCGAAAUGGGUUAUUUAUUUGUGCUAGUAAGUGGAUGUGGGUAAACCAAGCCAAAACGGACAGCACGUUUGCCAGGGAGAUUGCCCGAUGCUUGUGGCAGGCACAUGAAUUAAUCCACAGGAGUGUUACGAGCAAAAUAUGUAUGCGAAAGCUAAAGGAAGGUGGUGAGGCCAAGCCAGCGUUGACACCACAAAAACUUGGUGCAUAUCUAAAGGCAUACGAGCACUUUGUUUCAAAAACACCAAGCACCGUGGAUACAGAGGCAAGGAGGCUGAAGGACCUGAACAAGCACCUGGCCACCAUGCUUCGGGAUGCAAAAUAAAGAUGGUUUGUGUUAA